AGGGUUUGAUCCUGGCUCAGGACGAACGCUGGCGGCGUGCCUAACACAUGCAAGUCGAACGGUAACAGGGACUUCGGUCUGCUGACGAGUGGCGCACGGGUGAGUAACGCGUGGAUAUCUGCCUAUUAGUGGGGGACAACUUCCGGAAACGGAAGCUAAUACCGCAUAAUCUCUACGGAGGAAAGCAGGGGACCUUUCGGGGCCUUGUGCUGAUAGAUGAGUCCGCGUCUGAUUAGCUAGUUGGUGGGGUAAAGGCCUACCAAGGCGAUGAUCAGUAUCUGGUUUGAGAGGAUGAUCAGACACACUGGAACUGAGACACGGUCCAGACUUCUACGGAAGGCAGCAGUGGGGAAUAUUGCACAAUGGGCGAAAGCCUGAUGCAGCGACGCCGCGUGUGGGAAGAAGGCCUUCGGGUUGUAAACCACUUUCAAUUGGGAAGAAGGGAUGAGAACUAAUAAUUUUCUGACUUGACGGUACCUUUAGAAGAAGCACCGGCUAAUUUCGUGCCAGCAGCCGCGGUAAUACGAAAGGUGCAAGCGUUGUUCGGAUUUACUGGGCGUAAAGCGAGUGUAGGUGGUUUGUUAAGUCGGAUGUGAAAUCCCGGGGCUCAACCUCGGAACUGCAUUCGAUACUGGCAGGCUAGAGUUCGGGAGGGGUAAGCGGAAUUCCGUGUGUAGCAGUGAAAUGCGUAGAUAUACGGAGGAACACCUGAGGCGAAGGCGGCUUACUGGACCGAUACUGACACUGAGACUCGAAAGCGUGGGUAGCAAACAGGAUUAGAUACCCUGGUAGUCCACGCCCUAAACGAUGUCAACUAGCCGUUGCGGGUAUCGACCCCUGCAGUGGCGAAGCUAACGCGAUAAGUUGACCGCCUGGGGGAGUACGGUCGCAAGAUUAAAACUCAAAGGGAAUUUGA
rnacentral:rRNA from 1 species